rnacentral:rRNA from 1 species
AGUGAACGCUGGCGGUAGGCCUAACACAUGCAAGUCGAACGGCAGCACAGUAAUAGCUUGCUCUUACGGGUGGCGAGUGGCGGACGGGUGAGGAAUACAUCGGAAUCUACUUUUUCGUGGGGGAUAACGUAGGGAAACUUACGCUAAUACCGCAUACGACCUACGGGUGAAAGCAGUGGAUCUUCUGACCUUGCGCGAUUGAAUGAGCCGAUGUCGGAUUAGCUAGUUGGCGGGGUAAAGGCCCACCAAGUCGACGAUCCGUAGCUGGUCUGAGAGGAUGAUCAGCCACACUGGAACUGGGACACGGUCCAGACUCCUACGGGAGGCAGCAGUGGGGAAUAUUGGACAAUGGGCGGAAGCCUGAUCCAGCCAUACCGCGUGGGUGAAGAAGGCCUUCGGGUUGUAAAGCCCUUUUGUUGGGAAAGAAAAGCAGCAGGUUAAUACCCCGCUGUUCUGACGGUACCCAAAGAAUAAGCACCGGCUAACUUCGUG